rnacentral:rRNA from 1 species
UUGUUCGCAAUGGGCGCAAGCCUGACGACGCAACGCCGCGUGGAGGAUGAAGAUCUUCGGGUCGUAAACUCCUUUCGAUCGAGACGAAUUCCUCCGGGGUGAACAAUCCUGGAGGUUGACGGUACCGAGAGAAGAAGCACCGGCUAACUCCGUGCCAGCAGCCGCGGUAAUACGGGGGGGGCAAGCGUUGUUCGGAAUUACUGGGCGUAAAGGGCUCGUAGGUGGCCAACUAAGUCGGACGUGAAAUCCCUCGGCUUAACCGGGGAACUGCGUCCGAUACUGGUUGGCUUGAGUUUGGGAGAGGGAUGCGGAAUUCCAGGUGUAGCGGUGAAAUGCGUAGAUAUCUGGAGGAACACCGGUGGCGAAGGCGGCAUCCUGGACCAAUACUGACGCUGAGGAGCGAAAGCCAGGGGAGCAAACGGG